rnacentral:rRNA from 1 species
UACAGAGGUCUCAAGCGUUGUUCGGAUUCAUUGGGCGUAAAGGGUGCGUAGGCGGCGCGGUAAGUCGGGUGUGAAAUCUCGUCGCUUAACGACGAAACUGCCUUUGAUACUAUCAGUCUUGAGUCCGGUAGAGAUCUGUGGAAUUCCGAGCGUAGCAGUGAAAUGUGUAGAUAUUCGGAAGAACACCAGUGGCGAAGGCAGCAGAUUGGGCCGGUACUGACGCUCAGGCACGAAAGCAUGGGGAGCAAACAGG